rnacentral:rRNA from 1 species
AUGGUCGGCCCAAACAAAGGGAACUGGCCGGGCGGGAUCAAAACCGACCGGGAAAAGGGUUGGGGGGAUGAACGUUCAAGUCAUUCAUGGCCCCUUAACGGGCCUGGGCUACAACAACGUGCUACAAAUGGUUCGGUACAGAGGGUUGCCAAGCCGCGAGGUGGAGCUAAUCCCAUAAAACCGAUCGUAGUCCGGAUCGCAGUCUGCAACUCGACUGCGUGAAGUCGGAAUCGCUAGUAAUCGCGAAUCAGAAUGUCGCGGUGAAUACGUUCCCGGGCCUUGUACACACCGCCCGUCUCACACCAUGGAGCUA